UUUAUGGAGAGUUUGAUCCUGGCUCAGGAUGAACGCUGGCGGCGUGCCUAAUACAUGCAAGUCGAGCGAACGGAA
rnacentral:rRNA from 1 species